GAUAGAGAUGCUGAAGCUGAUUAUAUUAUCCUGUCUGCUGGCCUUUGUCGUGUGUCAAUCAUACCGUAUACGAUCCUACAGAGGAAGAGGAGAUUCCUUACUGCUUGAUGGUAUCCGUGGUAACAGAUGGGGUACAAGAUUGGAUCGUUCGGGGUCGGAUCUCUGGGACAACGACGCUUGGGAUCGUAACACAUAUGGAAACGACUGGAACCGACGUGGAGGUAGAAUCUGGAGAAACAGGAGAAGAGAUAUAUUCGACAGGAGAGGAAGUAGAUUCGACAGAGGAUACUGAUGAUACGAUAAACCAAUUUUGAAAAGAUCCGAGUGGCCAAAGAUUGAAGUUGAAAAAUCCAUACAAAUAUUUCCAUUGAUACAUUCAUUUGUAAAUUCAUAUUAAUCAUUUUGUGUUUUAAUAAAUCCUUAUCUUUAUCAAAAAUAUUGAGUUGGAAUUUUCGUUUUGUGUGUACCAAAAACUCACAUUAAUGUGUGAUCAUUUGAUGGAAAGUGUGUAAAGGGUUAGUCGAAAGCAUUUCUUAAAAAAGAAAUAUACACAUUAUAUCGUAUAU